CCACCCCAAGGGCUCUCUCUCUACAACUCUAAAAGUAUUUGCUGCCACCACAUGUUUUUAGAGGGACAUGACCCCUGGAUCAACUGAGGAGUAUUCAGUUGAUCCCAAUUUGAAAGUUAAACUACGUCAUAAAAUCAAGUGACGUAGUAGUACAAGACUUAAACAAGAGCGAGAAUUCCAAUCAAUCAUAAUGCACACGUGACAGAAAUGCAUACCACUGAUUGGCUAAGAGUUUUGCGUACCUGGGCCUUUAACUCAUUUUCCCCAGACCAUGCUUUCAAACUACAAUCUCAGGCCGCUCAUCCGUUGAGCUCUACAAGACUGGAGAGAAAAUUCACCAAGAUGUCCGUUUUAAGUGCAACAAGCUUCAUUUAAACUGAGCAAGAGACAAUUCAAGACUUCUUGACAUCUUCAGCUUGUCCACAUUGACGGCAAGGGCAGCGUGACAGUCCAUCAGCAUUGCAGUGUUGUCUUCCUGCCCGGUGCACGAGGGGACUGGUUCAACCUUGCUCUCCAUUGAACGAAUCUGACGGGUUGGCUUAAAGCGAUCUCUCACUCUCUCUGACUUCAUGAAAGACUCUGUCGCGAGGGCAGCACGGAUAGCUCCAUCAAGAGUGCUAGGGUGUGCUCGGAAUAUUCCUCCACGGAUUUCAUGCUCUUCAAUCGCAUCAGAAAAAUGCCCUCUAGCCAAGCGUUCUCUUGCAUCGCUGUUUAAUUCUGGAUAAGCAAGUCCUGUCAAAUCACGGAUGCUUUGCCCCAGCUCCUGCAGAGAUUCAUCCUUACGACGUCUUCUCAUUCUUAAUUCGAUGAGGAAGUUUUCAGAGUUUUCUCCAGGACCAAAUCUUUGCUCCAGCCGAUUUGCCAAUUUGCUGUAAGUAAUCCUCUCAUUCACAGCAAAACUACUAAGUACUUUCAGUGCUGGACCGUGAAGUCUAGUAGCCAAGUACUGUCCUGCUUCUAAAUCAUUCCAGCCAUUCAGAUUCAUGCAAACAUCAAAAUGGCGUUGAUAAUCCUGCCAUGGCAUUUUACCACCAAACUUCUCGGGUAGUACAUCUCUUCGUGAGGAUAUUCCACUUGGGCGUCCAACCACUUCCGUAGGGUCUGUACUGUCCACAUACUGAGUAUUUAGUCUGAACUCCUGUGACGUGUACUCUCGUCGACCCUCUACUGGAAUGGAGUCACCAAAUUCUCCAACACGAACUACCACCUCCGGGUCAGCCACAUCAUUAACCCAACGCUUUGGACUGUCGUCUCUACUCGCGUUCUCAGUUUGAGGAUUUGCAGGAAUAUUUGUAUUUUCUAAGUCCAUUAUGACCUAGAU